GACGAACGCUGGCGGCGUGCCUAAUACAUGCAAGUAGGACGCCGUUGCGAACGGGAGAGUAACGCGUAGGUAACUACCUGUUAGAGGGGGAUAACUAUUGGAAACGAUAGCUACUACCGCAUACAUGUGGAUGGACCUGCGUUGUAUUAGCAAGUAGGUAGGGUAAUGGCCUACCUAUGCAACGUUGCAUAGCCGAGCUGAGUGGGUGAUCGGCCACACUGGGCCUGAGACACGGCCCAGCUGCAUACAGUAGGCAGCAGGAGGGAAUAUUCGGCAAUGGGGGGAACCCUGAUCGAGCGACGCCGCGUGAAUGAAGAAAGGUUUAGGAUCGUAAAGCUCUGUUAUUAGAGGAGCGGUACCUAAUCAGAAAGCCACGGCUAACUCCGUGCCAGCAGCCGGGGUAAUAC
rnacentral:rRNA from 1 species